GGAUGUGGCUCAGCGGUAGAGCGCUUGCCUAACAUGUAUGAGGCACUGGGUUUGAUCCUCAGCACCA
rnacentral:tRNA from 1 species